GACGAACGCUGGCGGCGUGCCUAACACAUGCAAGUCGAGCGAGUGGAGUUCUUCGGAACAAAGCUAGCGGCGGACGGGUGAGUAACACGUGGGCAACCUGCCUCAUAGAGGGGAAUAGCCUCCCGAAAGGGAGAUUAAUACCGCAUAAGAUUGUAGCUUCGCAUGAAGUAGCAAUUAAAGGAGCAAUCCGCUAUGAGAUGGGCCCGCGGCGCAUUAGCUAGUUGGUGAGGUAACGGCUCACCAAGGCGACGAUGCGUAGCCGACCUGAGAGGGUGAUCGGCCACAUUGGGACUGAGACACGGCCCAGACUCCUACGGGAGGCAGCAGUGGGGAAUAUUGCACAAUGGGGGAAACCCUGAUGCAGCAACGCCGCGUGAGUGAUGACGGCCUUCGGGUUGUAAAGCUCUGUCUUCAGGGACGAUAAUGACGGUACCUGAGGAGGAGGCCACGGCUAACUACGUGCCAGCCACCGCCGUAA
rnacentral:rRNA from 1 species